rnacentral:rRNA from 1 species
UGGCGAACGGGUGAGUAACACGUGAGCAACCUGCCCUAUACAACGGGAUAACACAGAGAAAUUUGUGCUAAUACGGUAUAAGACCACAGUAUCGCAUGAUACAGGGGUAAAAGAUUUAUCGGUAUAGGAUGGGCUCGCGACCCAUUAGCUAGUUGGUGAGGUAACGGCCCACCAAGGCAACGAUGGGUAGCCGACCUGAGAGGGUGAUCGGCCACACUGGGACUGAGACACGGCCCAGACUCCUACGGGAGGCAGCAG